rnacentral:rRNA from 1 species
CAGGUGGUCAGGUAGAGAAUACCAAGGCGCUUGAGAGAACUCGGGUGAAGGAACUAGGCAAAAUGGUGCCGUAACUUCGGGAGAAGGCACGCUGGUGUGUAGGUGAAGUCCCUGCGGAUGGAGCUGAGACCAGUCGAAGAUACCAGCUGGCUGCAACUGUUUAUUAAAAACACAGCACUGUGCAAACACGAAAGUGGACGUAUACGGUGUGACGCCUGCCCGGUGCCGGAAGGUUAAUUGAUGGGGUUAUCCGUAAGGAGAAGCUCUUGAUCGAAGCCCCGGUAAACGGCGGCCGUAACUAUAACGGUCCUAAGGUAGCGAAAUUCCUUGUCGGGUAAGUUCCGACCUGCACGAAUGGCGUAAUGAUGGCCAGGCUGUCUCCACCCGAGACUCAGUGAAAUUGAACUCGCUGUGAAGAUGCAGUGUACCCGCGGCAAGACGGAAAGACCCCGUGAACCUUUACUAUAGCUUGACACUGAACAUUGAGCCUUGAUGUGUAGGAUAGGUGGGAGGCUUUGAAGCGUGGACGCCAGUCUGCGUGGAGCCAACCUUGAAAUACCACCCUUUAAUGUUUGAUGUUCUAACGUUGGCCCCUGACCGGGGUUGCGGACAGUGUCUGGUGGGUAGUUUGACUGGGGCGGUCUCCUCCCAAAGCGUAACGGAGGAGCACGAAGGUUAGCUAAUCCUGGUCGGACAUCAGGAGGUUAGUGCAAUGGCAUAAGCUAGCUUGACUGCGAGCGUGACGGCGCGAGCAGGUGCGAAAGCAGGUCAUAGUGAUCCGGUGGUUCUGAAUGGAAGGGCCAUCGCUCAACGGAUAAAAGGUACUCCGGGGAUAACAGGCUGAUACCGCCCAAGAGUUCAUAUCGACGGCGGUGUUUGGCACCUCGAUGUCGGCUCAUCACAUCCUGGGGCUGAAGUAGGUCCCAAGGGUAUGGCUGUUCGCCAUUUAAAGUGGUACGCGAGCUGGGUUUAGAACGUCGUGAGACAGUUCGGUCCCUAUCUGCCGUGGGCGCUGGAGAAUUGAGGGGGGCUGCUCCUAGUACGAGAGGACCGGAGUGGACGCAUCACUGGUGUUCGGGUUGUCAUGCCAAUGGCACUGCCCGGUAGCUAAAUGCGGAAGAGAUAAGUGCUGAAAGCAUCUAAGCACGAAACUUGCCCCGAGAUGAGUUCUCCCUGAGACUAUAAGUCUCCUGAAGGAACGUUGAAGACGACGACGUUGAUAGGCCGGGUGUGUAAGCGCAGCGAUGCGUUGAGCUAACCGGUACUAAUGAACCGUGAGGCUUAACCUU